UACAAUUGUAAUCUCUUCGUCUUCGUCCCUGCCGUGUGCCGCAGAGCGUGAGAUUGCAAGAUUGUUGAUUGAAGCUGGGUUGUCCGGUUCAAGGAAUUCGCUCACCCUGCAAUGGAGAUUUUUUCUACAGUGGCUACAGUAGGACCAACCUUCCCUUGCAGCCGCCAUGUUCUUAUUGUUUUUAUAUCAGUUCUUUGAUCACAGAGAAAGGGCUUAAACUUCGGCAGGCAAUGAGUAUGAUGGGUCUUUAUGAUUCUGCUUACUGGCUCUCGUGGCUCACGUGGGAGGGAAUUCUUACGCU